rnacentral:rRNA from 3 species
CCUCAGUAAGGGCGACUGAAACGGGAAAAGCUCAGCGCAUAACCUGGCGUCGUGACCCGGCGCCAGGGGUGUUGCGUUUCGGAGGGUCCGGCACGCAGUCUCUCACCGCCUAAGUUAUGCUUGAAAGCGGCCACUACCCAUGGAGGGUGACAGGCCCGUGUGGCGGCGCCCGCGAGGGUACACGAGAGAUUGUCGGAAAGGGCCUCUCCGUAGAGUCGGGUUG